UACGAAGGGGGCUAGCGUUACUCGGAUUGACUGGGCGUAAAGGGCGCGUAGGCGGCUUGUACAGUCAGACGUGAAAUUCCUGGGCUCAACCUGGGGGCUGCGUUUGAUACGUAUGGGCUUGAGUUCGGAAGAGGGUCGUGGAAUUCCCAGUGUAGAGGUGAAAUUCGUAGAUAUUGGGAAGAACACCGGUGGCGAAGGCGGCGACCUGGUCCGUGACUGACGCUGAGGCGCGAAAGCGUGGGGAGCAAACAGG
rnacentral:rRNA from 1 species